UCCUCGGUAGUAUAGUGGUCAGUAUCCCCGCCUGUCACGCGGGAGACCGGGGUUCGAUUCCCCCCGGGGAG
rnacentral:tRNA from 1 species